CUAAUCUUUGCUGCUCAGCAAUUCGGAGAGGAGAGUCCAUUGUCUCUCUGGGUUGUAUGAGACAGGGGCGCUGGGAGGGUGGCAGGAGGAAGUGGAGAAGGAAGAAGCAGAGGCUGCAUGGAGAGAUGAUGAGGACCGGGCUGAGCAGGGGGAACCCCGCCCACGCCGUCCACUUGCUGCAAUCAGAGUGGGAUGACAGAAGGUCAUCGGGUGGGAGGGCUCGAGAGGGCCUCACAGCCAUUAGUAAUACUGUUUAGGGGCUUUCCCAAGAUGCUUUGGAAAAACACAUCCAGGCUUGAUGGUCAUCUGUCCGGAGAAGCAGAUCUACUUGAAGAGCCUGGAACAGAAGGAGAUGCAGAAUCUGGGGUGUCUCCAAGUAAGAAGUGCCUGCAAGUUUCCUAAGACCCACUUCUUGGAAGUCAGCCCAGAAGCCACCCCUCUAAGCCCCUCCCUCAGCCCUGAGAAGAUGGGCCAGUAGCCUUGGCUCAGAGGGCCAUCUUCUGGGGUUGAGAGUCACCUGCCUGGAUGGAAAUCUCAGCUCAGCUCUGCGACCAACGUUACUGAAGUCCUCCAUGCCUUGGUGUCCAAGGUCCAUUGGUAAAACUGGGAAUAAUGAUGCUAUCCCCUCAGGCACUAUGAUGAGAUUGAAUGAGGUGACUCAAGCCACGUGUUUGGCUCCCUGUGUGGAAUGGGAACAGGUCAAGUGCCCACAAAAAGAUGGUCAUUUCUCCCUCUUUCUUCCCCAACAAAUAAUGAUUGAGUUAUGGACCUCAAAGACAGACGGGAAGGAGCUUGUUCCUGGUCCCACAGUCCCUGACUGCGCCUCCAGUUGGCAGCUGAAACCCUUCACCACCAUAGAGGGUAUUAGAAAUACAGGGGACGUAGGGAGAGAAAGGCUAAGAAAGAGAGGGGAAAAUGGACAAGCGGAUCCUAAAAUUCAGGUGGAAAUGCAAGGAGCUCAGAAGAGCCAACCUAAUCUAGAAAGAGAAACACAAAUUUGGAGGAACACUUCCGGAUUUCGAAACUUAACUGCACGCUAAAGUCAUCAAGUCAAGUCGGUACUGGCAUAAAGAGACACAGAGGUUAUGGAACAGAGUUGAGAGUCCAGAGAGAAACCCUUCCCUAUAUUUACCGUCAGUUGAGUUUUGGCAAGAGGGCCGAGUCUGUUCAAUGGGAAAGAACAGUCUUUUCAACAGCUGGUGCCGGGACAACUGGCUUUCCACAGGCAAGUAAAAGAAAGUGACCCCUACUUCAUACCACACACAAAAUCCAAUCAUUAUGGAGCGAAAAUCAAAAUGGGAGCGCUAACACCCUAAAACUCUUAGAAGAAAACAUAGCUGUACGUCUUCACAGCCUUGGAUUAAAUCACACUUUCCUGGCUCUGACAUCAAAAGCCCAAGCACGCAAAGAAAAAGUAGGCAAGGUGGGCUUCUUUAAAAGUAAAAACUUGUGUGAAUUGAAGCACCCCAUCAGAAAAUGGAAAGGCAACGCACGUAAUGGGAGCAUGUAUUUGGAAGGCAUCUGAUAACUCGAGCAUCCAGAAUAUAUAAACAAGCCCACAAUACCAAGGUAAGUAACCCAAGUUAAACUAAGCAAAGAAUUGCACUAGACAUUUCUCCAAAGAAGAUGUACACAUGGCCGUAAGCACAUGAAAAGAUGCUCAGUAUCCUUCUCAACAGGGAAAUGUCAAUCAAAACCACAAGGAAGUUAUCACUCCCACUCCGUAGGAUGGCUCUGAAAGAAAACAACAGAAAACAGAAAGUGUUGGCAGGGAAACGGAGUCCUUCCUACACCGCUGAUGGGAAGGCAGGAUGGUAUCACCACAAUGGAAAAGUUUGGCAGUUCCUCAAAACUUUCAACACAGAGUUGUAAUGUGGCCUGAUCAUUUCAUUCUCAGGUACACACCCUAGGAAACUAAAAACACACAUUCACGCAAAAAAACGUGCAUGUGAAUGUUCCUAGCAGCCUUAUUCACAGUAGCCUCCAAAGUGGAAACAACCUGAUGCGCAUCAACUAGUGAACAGAUAAACACAGGGGAUC
rnacentral:lncRNA from 1 species